AAUUCGUUUACAGUUAUUAUUAAUAGCAGUUAUCGUCGAUCAUUACGAUAUUAUAUUUAGCCAUAUCACUAUUGCCAUUAUCUGAGUGAACGAGUACAAGUCAUGAAUAUAAUAUAGCUUUGUCUUGAUCUGCGAUAUUUUUGCAUUAAAAUGUCUCAUCGUGGAGGGUCACGAGGUCUAAAAAUGCGGUCGGGACCAAUAGGACGAAUAAUGUCCUAGUUGACCUACUCCAGGUCCACCCUCGCCGUCGUUAUCCAUUCAUGCCGAACCGUUCAAUUUAUCAAAAAAGAAUAAAAAAAAUAAAAUAAAACGUUUUAGAAACAUCUCGAUCGCUGCCGAAACCGUAGAGGAGAUUUUGUACAGUUGUAUGCAGAUUCAAGAUCAACGAUGGACGUACAAAAAAAACUGUACGUGGAAGGAUUGUCAACAGGUAUUUUCAAGGACGAAUCGCAGUCAUUGUGAAGAACAACAAAAAAUGGGUACCUAAUGAUGUUUUAUAAAUUCAUUUUCUAAAUUAUUUCACAUUACAUACAUAGUUAUUGAUUUUAGUAAGUCUCGCAUUAUGUUACUCUUAUUACUUAUAUUUCAAUAAUUGACUUGGUGCGUAAAUCAUAUGAAAAUUUAUAAAAUUUCGACUUAAGUGGGAUUAAUUAAAUACUUUUUAUUUUAUAUGUAUAAACGUUUUAAAAAUGACUAAAUUUUUUUUUCUAUUACUUAUUGUUAAAAAACUAUUUGUAGAAUAUCUAUAAAGAGUUUAAUUGAUAGAACUUGUACACAAUAAUUAUU